rnacentral:rRNA from 1 species
CAGAAAGACCCUAUGAAGCUUUACUGUAACCUGGAAUUGCUCUCAAGCUUAUCUUGCGCAGCUUAGGUGGGAGACGUUGAACUUCUUCUUCCGGGAAGGAGGGAGUCAUCAGUGAGAUACCACUCUUGGUAAGCUAGAGCGCUCAUUUCUAACCGUCAACCGGUAGAAAGACAGUUUCAGGCGGGCAGUUUGACUGGGGCAGUCACCUCCCAAAAGGUAAUGGAGGUGUACAAAGGUUCGCUCAGGCUGGACGGAAAUCAGCCAUAGAGUGUAAAAGCAUAAGCGAGCUUGACUGCGAGACUGACAUGUCAAGCAGAGACGAAAGUCGGUUUUAGUGAUCCGACGGUGCUGAGUGGAAAGGCCGUCGCUCAACGGAUAAAAGUUACUCUAGGGAUAACAGGCUGA